rnacentral:misc_RNA from 1 species
UAUCCUUGUACCCAGUGCGAACUCGCUGCUACUACAGCAAGUGCUCUAAAGAACCAUAAUAAGACUAAACAUAAUGAAAAAGAAAUCCUUGUGCUCAGUGUGAACAUUCUACCAAUACAGCAAGUAAUCUAAGUAAGCAUAUCAAAAGUGACCAUGAAGGAGUAAGAUAUCUAUGUGACAAAUGUGAUUAUUCUGCCACUGAACUCCUGAAGAAUUAUAUUAAAAAUAAACAUGAGGGAGCAAGAUAUUUAUGUGACGAGUGUAUUUAUGAUUUUUCUAAACUCUGAAGUACAACAUUAACAUUAUAUUGGCGUUCAGUUUGUGGAAGGUUUAAAUCUUCAAGAAUUAUUAAAACGUAUUCUAACCUUACAUUGCCACCAUAGCUAGCUUGAUAAAAGCAAACAUGGACUUAGUAUGCAAGUUGCAUAAGGCUAUUUUAUAAAUAAUGUUCAUGGACACAAAUUUCCUGUAAUUUAUGUAGUCAUCAACAUUUUUGUGCAUGACAGUAUUAAUAUUUCAAAUUGGAGAGAUCAAGUUCCAAAUAUUUCAUAGAGUUACUUUAGAGAAGACUUUUUUCUUUUUCAGAUAGAAUGGCAGAAGAAUCAACUAUGGAAGAAAAAGAGAUAAAAGAAAACCAAGUUUUUGUCAAGCAAGAGAUUUGUCCAGCUUCUAGUUUAAAAUAUUCUUGGGAUGUGCUAGAGGAAGAUGGUAGGAUAAAUGAUGGAAUUGCUGAAAAUAUGAGUCACGAAAUAAUAUUGGAAGAGUUUGAGAUGAAAGAAGAAACUCUUCCAGGUUUUACUGUAGAAGAUACUUGUACAGUUUAUGUGCAAGGGGAAAGAAUAGAAAGAGAAAGUACGGAUAAUCAAAAUGUAAGCCUGAAUAUCAAAGAAGAUCUUCUUUUCAAAGAACCUAUAAGCCUCAAGAAGACCAAACAUAAAGGAUUGAGAUAUCCUUGUGAUGACUGUAAUUAUGUGGCAAACAAAGCUUCAAAUCUCAAGAGACAUAUUAGCCGUAAACUUGAAGGAGUGAAAUAUCCCUGUGAUCAGUGUGAAUACGCUGCACCUAGUACUUCUUGUCUAAAAAGGCAUACUGAAAAUAUACAUGAAGGCUUCUGUAGAUAUCCAUGUGAUCAGUGUGAAUACGCUGCACCUACUACUUCUUGUCUAAAAAGGCAUAUUGAAAAGAUACAUGAAGGAGUGAGAUAUUCCUGUGACAAGUGUGAUUUCACUGCACCUAGUACUUCUAGUCUAAAAAAGCAUAUUGGAAAUAAACAUGACGGAUACCCUUGUGGUGAUUGUGAUUAUGUGGCAACUCUAGCUAAAUCUCUCAAGAGACAUAUUAGACACAAACAUGAAGGAGUGAGAUAUCCCUGUGACCAGUGUGAUUACACUGCACCUAGUACUUCUAGUCUAAAAAAGCAUAUUGGAAAUAAACAUGAAGGAUACUCUUGUGGUGAUUGUGAUUAUGUGGCAACUCGAGCUAAAACUCUCAAGAGACAUAUUAACCAGAAACAUAUAGGAGUGAGAUAUCCCUGUGACCAGUGUGAAUACGCUGCACUUUGUACUUCUAGUCUAAAAAGGCAUACUGAAAAUAUACAUGAAGGGUUUAGAUAUCCCUGUGUUCAGUGUGAAUACGCUGCCACUUCUAUUAGUCAUCUGAAGAGACAUAUUAGAAAUAAACACGAUGAGGUCAGAUAUCACUGUAAUCAGUGUGAAUACUCUGCUACUUCUACAAGUCAACUGAAGAUACACAUUGAAUGUAAACACGAUGGAGUCAGAUAUCUAUGUAAUCAGUGUGAAUACAUUGCUACAUCUCCAGGUAAUCUGAAAAUACACAUUGAAUCUAAACACGAAGGAGUAAGAUAUCCAUGUGAUCAGUGUGAAUACACUGCUACUGCUAAAACAACUCUAAGGCUGCACAUUGAAAGUAAACAUGAAGGAGUGAGAUAUCCUUGUGAUCAGUGUGAAUAUAUUGCUUCUUCUAAAUCCUGUCUAUCGAGACAUAUAAAAAAUAAACAUGAAGGAGUGAGAUAUUCUUGUGAUCAUUGUGAAUACACUGCUUCUUUUAAAAGCUGUCUAAGGAAGCACAUUCAAAGUAAACAUGAAAGAGUGAGAUAUUACUGUGAUCAGUGUGAUCUCGUUGCCACUACAUUACCAGCUCUAAAGAUACAUGUUAAAAGUCAGCAUGAAGGAGUUAGAUAUCAAUGUGAUCAGUGUGAUUACGCUGCUCCUACAAUGACUGUUUUGAAGAAACAUACUAAAUAUAAACAUGAAGGAUUUAGAUAUCUUUGUUGUCAUUGUGGGGACGUUUCUUCUACUGCAAGUACUCUAAAAAGACAUAUUCAGGGUAAACAUGAAGGGGUGAGAUAUCCUUGUGACCACUGUGAUUACGCUGCUACUCAAAUAGGUGAUCUAAAGAAACAUUUAAAAAGUAAACAUAUGAAAUAAGAUUCCCUGUGACUACUGGGAAUAUGCUGCAACUGCAGAAGAUGGUCUGAAGUAACAUAAUGAAGUAAACUAUUCCUGUAAUUUUUAGCUUUUAAAUAUUGUAUACAUAUUUCGUUUUAUGUUGUUGAUGCAUAUUUUUACGCAAAACUCUCCCACUACAAGAAUUCAAGUUGGCUCGCAAUUAAUUUCAAAUAUGAAAUGUUCUUAAUUUCAAUGAAAAUGACAGAGAAUAUAAAAGAUGAGAAAGUAUUUAUCAAGGAAGACAUUUCUACUGAAGAGGAUACAAGUACUGAAUAUCUUAAGAAAGAAGACGUUAAAAUGAAAAUUAUUGAAAUACAACAAGUGGUAUAUAUUGCAGACAACAAGUGGUAUAUGUAUUCUACUGAUCUAGAAAGAAUGGCAGAGAAUAUGAAUAAAGAAAAGUAUCCAUCAAGAAAGGAAUGCCCACUGUAGAGUGUCUAGAGGAUACAUUAACUGUAUAUUGUUUACAGGACGAAUGUCUACUGUAGAGGUUGCAUGUACUUUAUAUGUACGGGAAGAAAUAUCUACUGUAGAGAAAGCAUGUACUUUAUAUGUACUGGAUGAAAUAUCUACUGUUGAGAAAGCAUGUGUUUUAUAUGUACUGGAUGAAAUAUCUACUGUUGAGAAAGCAUGUACUUUUGAUGUACUGGAUGAAAAAUCUACUGUUGAGAAAGCAUGUACUUUUUAUGUACUGGAUGAAAUAUCUACUGUUGAGAAAGCAUGUACUUUUUAUGUACUAGAUGAAAAAGUAAAAGAGGAAUUUUCAGAAUUUCAAGGUAGUAUUUAUUGGAUCAUCUAUAUAUAUAUAUAUAUUAGUAGUUUUUGUUUGUUUAUCCGAUAAUGAUCCAUGAACACAUAGACCGAUUUUUUUCGAACUCUAAUUGGAGAAUUGAUAGAACGACUUACCUAUAACAGCCAAACCCGUCCUGUGGGUUUGAAGAUUUGUAUUAUGCUUAAUUUUGUUAAUAAAUGGCCUAAAAUUAGUGAAAUUAUGAAUUUUUUUUAACGUUCUUUUUAAAGCAUGGUGUUCAGUUGAGGUGCUUUCUAAACAAGACUUACAGAGCUGUUGGCACCCUUUUUCUAGCAACACUUUUAGCUUUUAUUGUUACUUUUUAUGUGUUCAUUAUACUAUGCAAAAACAACACUUCCCCGGAUUUAUUUUUGUCAUAAAUGCCGACAUCCGGACAAAGAUUUUCAAAUUUAACUGUUCAUAACCUUUCCAGGGGGUCAUGUGAGUUGCCAACAAAAUUUUGGCU